rnacentral:rRNA from 1 species
CCUACGGGCGGCAGCAGUGAGGAAUAUUGGUCAAUGGACGAGAGUCUGAACCAGCCAAGUAGCGUGAAGGAUGACUGCCCUAUGGGUUGUAAACUUCUUUUAUAAGGGAAGAAAACGUGCCACGUGUGGGAUUUUGUAUGUACCAUAUGAAUAAGGAUCGGCUAACUCCGUGCCAGCAGCCGCGGUAAGACGGAGGAUCCGAGCGUUAUCCGGAUUUAUUGGGGUUAAAGGGAGCGUAGGGGGCUUGUUAAGUCAGUUGGGACAGUUUGCGGCUCAACCGUAAAAUUGCAGUUGAAACUGGCAGUCUUGAGUACAGUAGCGGUGGGCGGACUUCGUGGUGUAGCUG